rnacentral:sRNA from 1 species
CUGCUUUCUGGCUCCAGAUAAUCGUAGAGCGAGUGGUCGGAAGUUCGAGCCGAGCGUAGCGAGACAACGUUGCUUCAGCAACGGCCCGCAGGGCGAGGCAAAGCCGAGUCAUCUUCCUGGGUGCACCA